rnacentral:rRNA from 1 species
UGGGGAAUAUUGGACAAUGGGCGAAAGCCUGAUCCAGCAAUGCCGCGUGAGUGAUGAAGGCCUUAGGGUUGUAAAGCUCUUUUACCCGGGAAGAUAAUGACUGUACCGGGAGAAUAAGCCCCGGCUAACUCCGUGCCAGCAGCCGCGGUAAUACGGAGGGGGCUAGCGUUGUUCGGAAUUACUGGGCGUAAAGCGCACGUAGGCGGCUUUGUAAGUUAGAGGUGAAAGCCUGGGGCUCAACUCCAGAAUUGCCUUUAAGACUGCAUCGCUUGAACGUCGGAGAGGUGAGUGGAAUUCCGAGUGUAGAGGUGAAAUUCGUAGAUAUUCGGAAGAACACCAGUGGCGAAGGCGGCUCACUGGACGACUGUUGACGCUGAGGUGCGAAAGCGUGGGGAGCAAACA